rnacentral:rRNA from 1 species
AUUGAACGCUGGCGGCAGGCCUAACACAUGCAAGUCGAGCGGAUGAAGGGAGCUUGCUCCUGGAUUCAGCGGCGGACGGGUGAGUAAUGCCUAGGAAUCUGCCUGGUAGUGGGGGAUAACGUCCGGAAACGGGCGCUAAUACCGCAUACGUCCUGAGGGAGAAAGUGGGGGAUCUUCGGACCUCACGCUAUCAGAUGAGCCUAGGUCGGAUUAGCUAGUUGGUGGGGUAAAGGCCUACCAAGGCGACGAUCUGUAACUGGUCUGAGAGGAUGAUCAGUCACACUGGAACUGAGACACGGUCCAGACUCCUACGGGAGGCAGCAGUGGGGAAUAUUGGACAAUGGGCGAAAGCCUGAUCCAGCCAUGCCGCGUGUGUGAAGAAGGUCUUCGGAUUGUAAAGCACUUUAAGUUGGGAGGAAGGGCAGUAAGUUAAUACCUUGCUGUUUUGACGUUACCAACAGAAUAAGCACCGGCUAACUUCGU